AAGCGCGUCUCUCGUCCAUUUUAUUUCUGGAUUUCGAGCUGAAAGCAUCAUUCUCUUUUUUUGUGUGUUAACAUUUUUUUUUUUUUUAAACAAUGUAUUUUCUAAAAAGUAAUAAUAUUUUUAUAAAAACCAGUGAUUUAAUUAAACAGCAGUGUUUUAUUUUGAAAAAUAAUUUAUUUAGUUUUAAAAAAGAAAAUUUAAGAAUCUAUUGAUUUGCUUUCUUUAACCACGUGUAAGGUAAUUCGCAAGGAUGUCCCCAUUUCUAUUGAAGAUAAACUUAAAAGAAUCUUACGCAAAAUGGAAGUCUAGAAGAAAAUGAAGAGAAUUUUCAUGAAGAAUAAAAGGUAGCUGAUAUGGAGUUUAAAAUUCCUUAACUACGAUCCAAAUAUCAAGGAAUAUCGAAGUUUAACGAAAAAGAUUUGUUGAGUCAAAUAGCAAAUCAUUCAUGAAAGUCCAAAAAACAGAAAAUGAUUGUUCUCUAGCUGUGGAAAAUAUUUUUCAAUUCAAAUGGCAAUAAACAAGCUCAACAUUUAUACUCAAGGGAAGGAAUAUUUCUUUUUCAAACUGGGAAGAAUAUUCUAAAUUAAUUUUUUCUGAUAAAUUUAUGGAUAUCCAUGUUCGCCAUUUUGUAAAAUACUUGUGAAAAAUUUUAUAUUGUACUUUCGUAACAAUUAUGAGAAAUGAUUUACGAAUUACAUAUUUCUAUAAUAAAUUAAUUCUUGAUAAA